AGACAAAAAAAAAAAAAAAAAAAAAAAAAGGAAAGAAAACAUAUUAUAUUGUGUGACUCCAUUCUCAGACCAGGGGAAAUUUGAUUUUAAAUAUAUCCCAUUAUUUGAUGUAUAUUAUGACCUUUUUUUUUUUCUUUCCACAACCCCACCCCAAAACACUUAAUACAUUUCAGUAACUGAGUCAGCUUCAUUAUUAAAAACUCUUAGCACAGCCAGUUCUAGUUAUUUUUCAGAGUGUUCCUAGAAAGACACAUCCUAAAGGAGAUUGUCAUGAAAGAUUUUGUAUUUCCUCAAAGGAACAAUAGAGCUUGCAUUUGUGAUCAAAGAUGGAACAGAGAUAAUCACAGAAGUGACCCAAAUGCCAUAAAAGCAAAAAUACAGCCAUAAACCUACAUAUUAUUUUAUCUUUAUUUCUAUUUAAUAAACAUUUUGGGCAUGUACAGAUAUGAAUCUUAGGUAGUCAUUAUGCUCAAACAAAUUUUUCAGGCAUUGAGGGAACACAUGAUUGGAGUGGACUCCAGAUGAACCAUGUAGUCAGCCAGCGUUCAGGAUACAUACGGGAACACUAGCUUUAUGGCAGCUGGAUAAUUUGGAAUCUCAUCCUUAUAACUUGGAUGCCUGGUCUGGCAUGGUAGAGUAGACCUGAUGAGCAGACUGACUUGAAAUCUGAUCUGAGGUACCUUAGUGAUCUUAUUGGAAACACAGAAUAACUUAGAAUACCUGGAGGGAUCAAAUUUUUUUUUUUCUACCUCUUUUAAACUAAAAUACUGUAAAUCUCAGUUGGGCAUGAGAGGUAGUGAAUUGAAGAGGGUUUGUGUCCGAGCUCUCUGGUCAAAGCUUUGAUGUACUUAUUCUGUGCUAUAAAUUAAAAGGGAAUUCGUUCUCUUAAUUGGUGAUUCUGAAGAGACUUGCUGAAAGUUGCCCAGUUUGUAAUUAAGCUUUGGAUCUAAUGUUCUUUUCUUCAUUUUCUAUACUUUGAUAUUAGAUAGCUGCUUGUAUGACUAUACAUUAUGAAAUAAUUGGAUACAUGUUAAAAAUGAAAACUAAACUCUGCAUUAAGUAAAAUUAGUGAAGAGGCAAAAGGUAGGGGUGGCCUCUGUGAAGCAGGUAUGAGAAAAGCUCCAUGAAGAUAUGAUUACAUUUGUUUGAUUUUUUUUUAAAUUGCAACAUGUUUAGAUGGAUAUUUAUAAGAAGGUGGAAUAGACCUCUUUAAAAUAGAAAGUACAGGAGCUUACAAAUCAUAUAGCACUUGCAAUCUCCUCCCCUCUUCUUAUCACUUUUAUGCCAGGAAGGAUUAAGAAAUCUGAAUAUUUGGAGACAAAGCAGUGUGAGAUGUAAUUGCCCAAUACUGAAGGAGAGUUGAGCCAUAGCACACACCAGAGUAGGGAUGCUAUAACCAGUUAUGCAGGCGGAGACACAGUGUGGUUCCUAUGUGUGAGUAUCUGCUGUUGGUCAGUGGCGGCCUUCCAAAGGCUUAAGUGAUUAUGAUGCUUGAAAACAUGUUGGGUUCAAGGAUUUAUAAUCUAUUUUAAAGGCAGUAAAUUCAAGGUUAAAUAGAGUGCACUGGUGUGUACCUUAGAUAUUAGUUCUUUAAAUCUUUCUCCAAAUGGUAGUUUCUCUAGAAUUUGAGACAUGAACACUAGGUAAUUUAGUAUUAGGCAAAUAUUUAAACAGUUUAAAUGAGUUUAUUGCAUCCCGGCUCUAUUACUUACUAGCUGUGUAAGUAACCUUAGGCAAAUUAUUUGAAUUUUUUGCGACUUAAUUUUCUCGUCUAUAAAAGACAUUUAACAAUGGUUUCUACCUCUUAGGGUUUUUGUGAAUAUUAAAUGAGGUAACAUAUGUGAAGUACUUAGAAUCGUUUCUAGCAUAUAGUAACACUAUAUACGUGUUAGCUGUUAUGACAGUGAUAAUGAUGUUCUCCUCCUCCUCCUCUUUCUCCUUUUCCUCCUGCUAACAUUUGUAGAAGUGUGAACUAUCUCUCAAUUCAUCUACUCGCUUCAUCUGAGAAGAGCCAGUCUUCCUGACCAGUAUUUUACAACCCAAGAUACCCACUUAGGGCCAACCAAUAUGCUACCAGCUUUGUGCUUAGGUUAUUUCCAACCAAUCACUUAAAAGCAGGACUCAAAAUUCAACUUCAGUUCAGUAAUGGUCAUUGUUUUUCUCUGGUCAUCCCUAAGGUUUAUUUAUUACUAGACGCAUCAGUAUGACCCUCUCAUAACAUUUUUGUUUCCUGAGAAAUGGAUUUUUAAUAAACCAUUAUCACAACAGCAUUAUUAUCACUAUCCAUGGUGUAUUAAUUCAACCACGUCUGUGGCCCUCUAAUUUAUUUAUAGUAUUGUGAUAGAAGUCAUGGGGAAUACAAAGAGGGCAAAAAGGAAAAAAUAUAUAUAACUUAGUUGGGAAGACAUAACAAAUGUGUAUCAAACGUUAAACAGCAUUAAGAAAAAACACUAGUAAAGAGCCAAGGGAGGUUAGAGUAAGGAAACAGAAUGCCUGCCCCAAGUUUUGGGGCAGAAAUAGAAAUAUAGAAGGCAGGAUCUCAAUACACAGAAAGGAACAGUGCAGGCCGAAUGGUGGAGGAAGAAUAUCUAUGGUGCCUUCAGAGAAACCAUGAGCAAGCUGGUUUCACUGGAAAAGAGAGGUGCUGUUGAGAACUAAUAGGAGAGCAAGUUGGUAAGUUUGGAAGAUAGACAAUUACGUGGAAAGAAAUAAAAUUCUGUUCACUGCAACAACUAAUGUCUACAACCUAUCAAAUUAAUACAUGUAUUAAGCACUGAUAAUACCAGCUAAAUCUCAGUCAGAAGCUAAUGAACUGGAGAACAUCAAGGACCUAGUUGCAGAAGCAUAUCAGAGCUGCUGGCCCUGAAAAACCCUGAAAGAGCCGGAAAUUAAGAAUUUCAUCUUUGGACUCAGCCAAACUUAGACAGACUUGGUUUUAAACUCAGUUUAGCUGCUUACUAGUUGUAUUAGUGGAAACAUUAAUUAAUUCUCUGUACCUCAAUUUCCUCAUCUGUAAAGUGGUGAUACGAUUAAUUUGAAGAUGGCACCUUUGAAAUGUGUAAGGAUUGAAUGAAAUGGGUAAUUUAUGUGAAGGUCUUACAAAUUAAAACAUAUAGUGAGUACUUACUUAAUGGUCACUAAUAUUAACAGCAACAGAGUAUGUUUCAGUGAGACAGAAUAAGUUCAAUUUAACUUUUUUUCAUAUUGAGAUGCCAUGUAAAAUGUUAACUAAUGUUCCACUUCUUUAAGAAAAAGUUGGAAACACAUUCAUACUUAUUUUUAACCUUACUACUGUGAAAUGACAGUGCUUCUAAUUCUGGCUGUGAAAACUAGUAAUCCUUUUAAAAGGAUUAAAUUGUGAAUAAACACAUCAGGAAAGAACUUAAAUCUAGUGUUUCCUGACUUCUUGUUUUGGUUCUGAUUAAUUAAAUUUUUUUUCAGAAAGGGUAGAAACCAAGAGUAGGUACAAUUGAAGAGUUAAUCAGAAAAUUAAAUAAGGGUACUCAUUAACCAUGUGUUUUAGUAAUAGAGGUUUUACCGUAUCGGGAGUUCCCACUUGUUCUUUUUCUGCAAAUGUGACACUCAGUUUUAUUUUUAAAUGCUGACAUAAAUUGAAAGUCUUUUAUAACCUCUGAAGCCUGGUUCUCAAAGUGCAGUCCAUGGAUCCUUGGAGGCUCCCAAGGUCCUUUUGGGGGAUCGAUGAGAUCAAAACUAUUCUCAUAAUACUAAGAUGUAAUUGCCUUUUUUGAGUGUGUUGACACUUGCUCUGAUGGUGCAGAAGCAAUGGUGGGGAAAGCUGUGGGAGCCUUAGCUUGAAUUGAGUUAGUGGCACUCAACUGUCCUAGAAGUCAUUGUAUCCUUCACCUCCACAUACAGUAAAAAAGAAUAUCCCUGAUGAAGCAGUAAAAAUUACUAAUUUUAUGAAAGCUUGACCUUGAGUUACAUGUUUUUAAAAAUAGUCUGUGUGAAGGGGAAUUACAAAUAAAGCAUUUUUGCUACAUACGAUUACUUGUCUCAAGGAAGAGGACUGGGGAGAUUGAGUUAAACUAUAGUUAUUUAGACUUGGGUAUUUGGCAGACAUUUUCUGGAAAGCAAUGAGCCUGUCAUUUUAAGAGAAACAACGCACAGUGAUAAAAUUAAAGAUUUCAAGUGAAAAUAUGAAUUUUUUAAAAACUUGCAUCUUCCUCUGUGAACUUGACAAAUUCCUAAUGAACCAUUGACGACUCUUAUGAUAUUGGUGGUGAUACUAAUGAAUGUGACUUUUUUGAAACUGAAUAAUGAAAUGUGUCAGCAUUUGGAAAAGCACUGCAUAACUCAGUGAACUCAUAUUUUCCAAAUGUCCAUUGCAUGAUUUUAAAAAAACAUGAGUGUCUAAAAGAUCCAUUCAAAGUGCAAGAUUGGCUAAUGAGUUUUAAUGUAACAGAGUGUGAGAAGUUCCUUGAUAUGGUUUCAGAUUCCACAAUCCAGUUUAACCAUUAAGAAACCACCACUUGUUGAGUUUUGGUCUAGUAUCAAAGGAGAAUAACCAUAAUUAUCUGAAAAGACUAUUAAAAUACUUUUCCUUUUACAACAAUAUGUCUACAUGAGGCUAUUUUAUUUCCCAUAUACUUCAACACAAACAAUGGAUCACAACAUGAAUGAAGCAGCAAAUGUGAGAAGCCAGUUGUUGUCUAUUUAGCCAAAACUUUAGAUUUGCAAAAUUCUUUUCAAAAUUUUUUGCUGUGGAAAAUGUAGUUAUUUUCACAAAAAUAUGUUAUGUUAACAUGUGAUGGAUUUAUUAAGUGAAUUCAUAAGAUUCUUUAAAAAAUAUUAUCAGUUUUAUUUUUAAGAGUUUAAAGUGGUUCUGACAUUAUGAACUUUGAGAACCACACCUCUGAUGUGGUACAAUUAAAUUUUCCUAUGAAUUUUUAUGAUUUACCAAUGCAUGAGAUUGCCAUCUCGUGACAAAAUAGGGAAAUGCAGGUAUUUUUGAAAAGCUCAGCUUUAAGGACUUGGAGCGAUUUCUAAUGACUACUUGUUGGAAAUUUAUCAAGAGAAAGAUGUAAGUUCAGAUUUCCAAGGGCUAUGUCUUAAAAUAUUAUGUGCCAAAAAUAUUAAUUUUCAGAAAGCAAGCAAAAAACAGUUAAUUAAAUGGGUAUUUUUAAAGGGCUGACAUUGGUUUGGGGCCAGUCUUCUGUUAAGAACACGUUUAGUUUUUAUGUUCAGUAUGUAUAUUUCCUAUUACACAGAGCCCCUUUGUAUGUGAUGUUAUAUACUGCUCGAAUGUGUAUUUACUGUUCAAAACACUGAUAAAUGUUUGUGGUGAUAUUCUGGUGGCAUACAGUAGUCCCCCUUUAUCCUCAGGGAAUGUAUUCCAAGAUCCCCAGUGGAUGUCUGAUUCUGAGGAUAGUAUGGAACCCUAUACAGACUGUUUUCCCUAUACAUUUAUACCUACGAUAAAGCUUAACUUAUAAAUUAGGCACAAUAAGAGAUUAACAACAACAAUAAAACAGUUAUAUCAAUAUGCUGUAAUAAAAGGUGAAUGUGGCUUCUGUCUCCAAAUAUCUUAUUGUACUGUACUCACCAAUUUUCAGACCCCCAUUGGCCUAGGGUGACUGAAACCGUUGAAAGUGAAACUGCAGAUAAGGGGGGGAUUAGUGUAACAUCACUAAUGAUUGACUUAAGGUUUAGUCAUUGGUUGGUACCACAAACUUGGCUGAUAAUAUUCUUUCUAAGGGAAAUGUGAUCAAUUCUUUGUGAUGUAGAGUUUAAGUCCACACUCUGGUAAAGAGUUUGAAUUUGCUGCCCUUAAGUACUACAUCACUGUAGUUCUGUGUGAUGUGUCCUGUACAAACAUGCAGAGUGAACAUCGUUCCUUGCCUUCUGCUUUCUUGAGCACUAAAAUACACAGUGUCAAUAUGCACAAACAUGUGGAAGGACAUAUAGACAAAUACAGCCUUAGCCAAGUCAUGAGAGAUGCAGCUGCAAGAAACAGGCUCAUGCAUAAUGAACAUUUAUGCUAUGGCAUAGCUUGUGUUUUUGCAUCGAUGAGCUGUGUGAAAAGGAAGGAACCUCACUUCAUUUUCAUUCAGUUAGAAUGAAGGCCCACUGGUCAGUUUUUUGACUCAGUUCAGCUGAUUGUUUUCAGAAUAAUCUGUUCUUUUCUAACAGUUGUGUGUAGGGACAGCCGCACUCUGAUGAAAUGACUGUGAGCCUAUAUGCUAACUACUGUACGAAUUUUCUGCCUAUAUUCACUAUGUACCCAGUGACCCUGCUGAUGAAUAUUUUAGACAUCUUCAUGAAUAAUGUGACUGCCCACAGGAGAGCUGCUUGCGUGUUUGUAAGGCUGGACAUGCUAUCAAGAUGAUACCGACUCCAAUUCUAUGUACUUGUGUGAAGAUAAUAAAAUACCUAAGUAAGGUUGUUGGUCAAGAUUGUCUUUGAGGAAUCAUGGAUGCUCUGAAAUUGGAUGCCAAAUUUUACAUGUGUGGAAAUUGACACAUUAUCAAGUAUAUGUAAGUACCAUACCAUUCCAACUUUACAUACCUCUCACCACCCCUACCGCACCUCACCUCCCUAAUAACACUUUUGGGACCAUGGCUGCUUCAAGAUCAGCUAACUUUUUCCUCAGUGAUUCGAUGCAGAAUCCUCAGUAAGUAGAGCAUUCCUUUUGAUGGCUUUACUAAUACCCAGAUCUCGUAGUUCUUUAAAUCCCUCAACUAAAAUGACCUUCAUCUUCCUUUCACUUUGGCUGUGCACACACAUGCCACACCUAAUAGAUCUGCUCCACUUUGAAUAUUUCAAACUCUAUUAGUCUUUGCUUUGAAAUAGCCUUCUAACUUCUACCUGCCCCAUCCAUGUUUCUUCUCAACCUGUCUUCUCUUCUACUGUUCCAUUUCUUGUUCUGUCCUUGUUUUCCAGUGUGGGAAGAUAGGGAAGGGAAGAGGCUGGCAACUCUCUUCAAAUCCCUGCUUCCGUACUCAGCCCACAACUAAUCAGAUGGUUCAGUAAUGAUUGUGCUUACCCUGCAGACUUCCUCACACAGUAUUCUUUGAGAAUUUCCAACUCAGGUUCUUUUCCUGUUUCCCCCCCACUCCCCCUUAUGUUCAGGCACCUGGGCAUUGUUAGUAAAUUUCAUAAAAACUGGGACAAUUGGAUCAAUAAAUGUAUGUAGAAUAAAGAAAUCUAUCAAAUCUUUUGCCAUCCAGGGGAGGGGAACCUUAGGACUGUGUUGAACUCAAAAAAAAAAAAAAAAAGGUCCAUAUUUCAUUUUAGUUACAUCUCAACUAGCUCUGCCUAUGUGAAUAUUUGUAUGUGUGUCACCUGAUAGUGGUCAGAAAUUUGGGUCCUUCAUACUUUUAUUUCUAUUAGAAAAUCAGCCUUUGUACCCAUUUUUUUUUCCUUACUGGUAUAGACUUGGUAAAAUCUUGAUAAAAUUUUUCUGCACAUAUUUACUCUGUUUGAGUUAGGAACUGAACUGUGUGAAUGCUUUUUCUUCUAAGCCAUGAGUGAUAUUUAUUUAUUUUAUUUUUGUCAGUUGUUUCCAUGGUUCAUGAAUUCUUUAUUAUAGUAGGAGUCAUCAAUUGGAUGGAGAAUCAUUGAAAUUGUAAGUUUAGGACAUUAGUUGGAAUAACCUGAACAAUGUGCUUACCUUUUGGGCCCUUAAUUUAAUUUAAAAUUAAAUGAGUCUUAUGAUGGCAAGCUUCACAGAUCUGCCUGCAGGGCUUUCAGAAUGGAAAUGUGCGUCUCUGUGUGUGGGAGGCUCUUUUGUUUAGUUGGAAAGACUAGGAAAUCUUUGCCUAAAAACCCUCAUUGUUUGGAGAGCAUAAAUAACUGAACAUAAUGUUAGUGAGAAGUUUCAUUUGAGAUUGAACCACUGACUUCCAAGAAUAUAGCAGUGAGUGGAAGUGCUAUGAACAAUGUCUUCCUUAUUUCCUUUAAAAUACCCAGGAAAUUGUCUUAAAAAAAACCCAAAUCCCCAGAAGUAACUACAAUGAGUGUCAGGCAUUGAGCCCAUUCUAGUUUCUGGAAGGAAUUUUACAUUCUUUCCUGUAGUUGAAAUCAGAUGGAGUUGCCGCUUCUUCACCAGGACCCCCAACCUGCAACCUGAUGCCUCCUCCUCACUUCCCUAUUUCAGCCACUAGUCAUGGAAUCCUGCUCCACACAUAUGGCUUGUUUCCCUUUUGUUCAUGUCCAGUGCUGCUGAGUGUUAGUUGAUUCUGUAACAGCUGCUAACAUGCUCCUUCUUUGACUUACGCAGCUUCUGGAUGGGGUGGAGGUGGUCCUCAUUGAACUGACUCCUGGUUCCCACUCAGGUUCUGGGCUGGUCUGUGACGUUAGGUGCUUGAAAGUCAAGAACCAGGAUUUACACCUGCUUCCAACCAUCCUUUGGCUCCACUUUGAACACAAAGGCAUCUGCAAAGACCUCUACGUUCAGUCACUAGUGUGGGAUUUUCUUAUCUCCUCCAUUAGACUGAGCUCCAUGAGGGUGGGGAAGGAAAAGAUGGGGGUGGGAGUAGCUUCCUUCUCAUUGAAUCCGCAACACCCAGAAUAGUACUUAGCACGUGUUGGGUACUGAAGACACGUGUCAAACUCAUUAAUGUAACUCAAUCAUUGGGAAGGACUUAAAAGCAGUCCUCAAGCAUGGUAAGCACUGAGGGCCAAGGUCAAACCAAGCCCAAGGAUGUAAAAAAGAAAUGAAAUCACAUAUUAUAGAUGAGUAAUUAAAACAAAAUUCUACAGCUCCAAAGCAAAGAAGUUAUAGAGAUCUAUAGCAAUAUCUUUCUGAAACAAUUUUGCUUUAUGAAACAGUUGUAAAAGCUCUGCUUUGUAAACUCAGUAAGAUACCUGAAGAGUUUACAUCUAGUAAAUGAGAAUUUUAAAAAGAAUAAAAUGAAAUGAAAAUUAUAGUAGAUAAAAUAAAUCUUCAUUGUAAUAAAAAGCUGACUGUACUUAGAAAAUUCAUCCAGUUGAUAUGGACAGGAGGCAGGGAAAUACUGGGUAAAAGAGGGUGGUUCCCUGGCAAAGGCCCCACUCUCAAGCCCAGAAACCCAUGGCCCUAAAUGGGAACAGGCAUUCCUGUUUUCACACCCAAAUGUUCUCUUUUGGCUGCACCUCUCUAUCCUGUACCCAUAUAAACCCCAGACCCUAGGCUCCACAAGUAGAAGAGCAGAGGAGCAGAAGAGCAGCAGAAGGACACGGCAGAGAAGGAGAGAAGAGAAGGAACAUCUCAACACUGAGAAGAGUUCAGCUAGGGAUGGCUGGAGAGGAGAUGGGCCAUGGGAUGGUCAUGUUCCCGCUCCAUCUCCUUUCCAGCUCCCCAUCCAUUCUGCUGAGAGCCAUCUCCAUCCAGCAAUAAAAUCCUCCGCAUUUACCGUCCUUCAGUUUGUCUGUGUGACCUGAUUCUUCCUGGACACAGGACAAAAUCUCAGGUACCAAGAGGGCACUGAGCUGGUUAACACUUAAACCGUCUGUGGACAGCAGAGCUAAAAGAACACUGUAGCACACCCACUGGGGCUUUGGGAGUCACAGGCACCCAGCCCUAGAUGCUACUGGGGGACCAGCUCCCAAAAGUGCUCUGCCCGGCUCCUGCACCUGCCCAUCUGUGUGCUCGCCCUCCCGUAAGGUGUUCGAGCAUGCAGCAGCCCAACAGACGAGCCACACUCCUGUUUCAUGUCUUGUGCAGGGGUUCAGGGAACUCUUUUGUUUCAUACUGAUCGAGGAUAGACUUCAAAAAAUUGCCCAGACUGCAGCAAAGAAGCCCGGAAAGACACAGAUCCAACCUAGAACUGAUGGGGAUUACUGUGGAAGACACAACAAAAUCCACUGUGAUAACUGUUGGAGGGACAUUUUUCAGUUCUAAAAGACCUGAUCUUGGGUACUGAUAUACCAUACCACAUUCCAGGUACACUUUCUCAUUAUAAAUCAACACUGAAAAAUAUUCAGAUUUUUUUUUAGCUAGAAAACUUGCAGGUAGAGUAAGGAAGUAUAAAAGUGCUAAAUUAUUUGUCCUUCAUUUAAAAGAGACUAAAGUGAUCUUUUGGGAUUAUGUUGAGAGUAGUUAAAUAGCAGCUGAAAGUUUAUUAAAAUUUAUUUAUUUAAAUUUAAUAGUUCAUUAAAAUUUAUUGAAAGUUUAUUAAAGUUAUAAAAAUAACUAAUAGAAGUAAAAAACAGGAUGCCUAUAAAAGUUAAUACAGAAAACAGAAUCAAAUAAAACACCAUAAUCUCAUCGGGCUACAGAGAAACGGAAUCGUUCUACUUUCUUUCUUUGUCUCUCAUUUACAUCUCCUUAGCACGUCCCAAAAGAUAUACUGAUAACUUCCAUAGGGACUUUUUUAGCCCACUAAAAGUUCUUUUGUCCCCCCAAAAGAGAUAGGGUUUUAAAUAUAUAUAUAUAUACAGUGUGUGUGUAUAUAUAUAUUUAUAUUUAGAUAGUAUAUCAUUAAUUUGACUCAUAAAAAUUAUAACAUUCCUUUCAAACAACUGUGUGAUAUAGGUAGACGAGAAUUUAGCACAUAAGAUAUUGCCUUAUCUUUUUGCAAAAAUAUGUAAUUCACCUGUCAUGGUGCAUGGUAGGCACUAAAGAAAUACUGUUGAAGGAAUGAAGACAUAUAUAACUUAACUAGCUGUAUACUUGGGAAAAUGUAAUUUCAUCUACAAACAAUAACUUUAUAAAUAAUUGAACUGUUUCUCACCCAUUAAAUUUACUGUGAAAUCUGGACAAACAUCUGUCAUGAUGUAAGCCAUGGAAGAAAUGUUGAGAUUAGCAUGCAGUAAUGAACAUGGUAGUAAAUGCUGGGGAAGGCAGAAAUUAGAAGAGACUUAAAUAAGUCCUAAUUUUUAGGUUCUCAAAAGGUUAAUUCGGAUUGUUCUGAAUGUCUUCAUAUCAGAGAGACUUGGCCAAUCUUUAAAAAAAAAAAAAAAAAAA